GAGUUUGAUUAUGGCUCAGAUUGAACGCUGGCGGCAUGCUUUACACAUGCAAGUCGAACGGCAGCACAGGGAGCUUGCUCCUGGGUGGCGAGUGGCGAACGGGUGAGUAAUGUAUCGGAACGUGCCUGGUAGUGGGGGAUAACCACUCGAAAGAGUGGCUAAUACCGCAUGAGAUCUCUGGAUGAAAGCGGGGGACCUUUGGGCCUCGCGCUACUGGAGCGGCCGAUAUCAGAUUAGGUUGUUGGUGGGGUAAAGGCCUACCAAGCCUGCGAUCUGUAGCUGGUCUGAGAGGACGACCAGCCACACUGGGACUGAGACACGGCCCAGACUCCUACGGGAGGCAGCAGUGGGGAAUUUUGGACAAUGGGCGCAAGCCUGAUCCAGCAAUGCCGCGUGCAGGACGAAGGCCUUCGGGUUGUAAACUGCUUUUGUACAGAACGAAAAGUCUCUGGCUAAUAUCUGGAGA
rnacentral:rRNA from 1 species